GUGGGGGGGAGCGUGAAUCGUGGUUUCGAGCGGCCUGGGACACUGAAGGAUGUCAUGUUCAGGCGGUAAACACCAGCUUUAUAACGAGCUCAACUCUGGCCUCCGUCCGCCCCCUUCAUCGAGCAGGUCCGACGUGAGCCUAGCCUGCGAGCUAACGCUCCGCUGCACCGUGUCCCCGACCCAUCGCUCACGUUCCGCCCGGUAAAGUUUUUAGAUCCGGUCCCUCGGACCGCUUACCCACUGAAGAAGAGCGAAGGGGGGUCUAGUCCGGAGCGGGACCUCGUGCAGGGUCCUGUUUGUUGACGUGCAGGCGGUCUUCAAUGGAGUCCACGCGCAGAGCUCGGGUCCCGUCCCCGUGGUUACAUACAUCAGCAGGGUCUCCGGCUCGUGCGUCUCAGGGGGGGCAGAGAGGAGCACAUGGGCGGGGGAAGAGACCUGGACCCCCAACGCGAACGGGAGGCGGAGGAAGCCUCCAGGCCUGGCACCGCUCUAGCAGGACGGGCCAGAGGCCGGCGCUGUCUCUUCGUUCGGGAUUACCGUCGUCUCUGGGGGCCAAGUCUAUACGGGUCAAAGGCAAACAUCCAGCCAGCGGCAGAGACCAGGGACCAGGGUUAGUGAGGAGGGGGUAGGACGGCCCUCGGGGUCUGGGGCCGGUGUGCAGACAGACGCUCAAGGACAUAUGUUGGUCAUUAACUUGUCAUGGUAUUUAGCAGAGACUUUCAUCCCUAUUGAGAUAUAGCUUGAGGCCCUUUGGGAGCAUAAAGAGGUUAGUUUAACAGCUCAUGCUAACAUACAGCUUGAAUAUGGACAUUGGAGUUGAAGUGUGUAGUCUGGUGGUGAGUAUGUGGUGAUCUGUAGGGAUAAGUAUUGUGUGGUUCUCCUUAGAAGGGACAGGGACAAGCAGGUACACUAGAUGUUACAUCUGUUGGGAUCUCGGCUGAGCAGCAGUAAGAGUCUGGGAGGAUUACGUUGCUUCAUUCUUCUCACGUCGCUGAUCCUGUCAGGAACCGAGUAUUACUGGAUAAGAAGAUAUUAAAUAGCAUGCAGACAUAAUUUGUUUUCUCCCAUGACCACGUCCCCCCAAUUUGAUAUUGCAAAUACGUAACAUGCCACAAAAGACUGAAGAAAAGGUAUUCAUGUUUAUAUUAGCUUUAUUAAAUAAUGUGACAGCCUCCAUAAUCCAAUGUUGUUUUACAAAUGAACCAUAACGCUGUGAUUUGCUACAUGGAUUGAACUGGGUUGCGUCAUAUAGAGAAGUGGUGAUAUAAUUGAGAACCUAUUUUUAUCCAUCUUUAAAAUAGUUUCACAAACCGAGAUGUUAUCAGUGAUUUACAUUGCAUGUUUUUGUCCACUUGUUUGGGGUUUUGGCUUUGAGACCCAUGCCUCACAGGUACAAAGCCUGUGUGAUAUAUUUAUGUUGGACACAUUAUUCUGUUGGCUAAUACCUUUCUCUUAAUGACACAUCAUAUUGUAAAACCAAUUCUUCCUACAGCCACACAACAUGUACAAAAGAGUUUUUCCCACAGCAAAAUAAAGCAAAGCUGAAUGUCUCUUCACAUGCCCAGAGUUGAGUAGCUCCCCAGGUCUUCCCUUUUCAAGAUAUUGAUCAAGAUGCUAACAGGGUUUCAAGAUGAGUUGCUGUUUGAACAACAUGACUUGAACCAGACAAGAGCAGCAACAACAGCGGUGUCUGAGCGGGCGGCAGUCCGUUCCUCAGCUGACAGACCAGUGGUCACUUCAGCAAGAUGCAGCUUUAACAGUAGCUGCUGUGUGGUAGCCAACAUGUGGCCUCGAAUCGGAGUACAUUAGAGAUAUGAAACACUGUAUGCAACAGGGUGUUAACACUGUUGUUCCGAAUUAGUCUGAUGAUGGAUAACUGACCCACUUCAGCCUUUAAAUCGUGCUGAGUCACACUGCUAUGAAACACAAUAGGAAAUGACACACAUUUCCUUGUUGCCAGAUAAAUAAAUCAGCUAAGGUUGGGGUUCAUAGAGUGGUAGCAAGCAGUGAUUUAGCUAGCUCAGAUAUUGCAAUAUUAAUUAAUAGCAUAAAGGAAAGAUUAUUUUUAAAAAGCAAGGAUACAAAUAAAUAAAAAAUGUCUGGAUUGUCAGUGGUUGUAAAUUAUUGUACAAUUACCAUUACAAUUAGGGCAUUUAGCAGACGCUUUUAUCCAAAGCGACUUACAUCGGUUAAUGCAAACAUUGACACACCGAUGGCAGAGUCAACCAUGCAAGGCGACAGCC